UUCGUCCUGAACAGCGCUUAGAUCAAAAUGUUGAGCAUACGCGGAUUUUAUUAAGGCAAUCAAUUCUUCAAUAUUUUCCUGCCUAUCCUCGCCUACUAUGCUGUCAUAAACGCGAUAUUGUAUUCGACCUCGUGCUACAGUAAGCAAAUAAUCUUUAUGUUCAGCUCCUACCAUAGAAUCGGCAAGUCUACAUUGAGCAAUGAAAUUUCCUACUUCAGAUGAUUUUCCCUCAAAAUGAGGUUACGUGGAGCGGUUUGCUGCGAGGGUCGCAUUUGAGUUAGAAUGAAAUCAUUCAAUUGGGAUUGAAGCGGAUAAGUGCUCGAAAAUACUACGUUAAAAGAUACGGGCUCGGGCGAUGUCCGCAGGCAGAUCAGAAAUCACG